rnacentral:rRNA from 1 species
GAUGAACGCUGGCGGCGUGCCUAAUACAUGCAAGUCGAGCGAACGGACGAGAAGCUUGCUUUUCUGAUGUUAGCGGCGGACGGGUGAGUAACACGUGGAUAACCUACCUAUAAGACUGGGAUAACUUCGGGAAACCGGAGCUAAUACCGGAUAAUAUUUUGAACCGCAUGGUUCAAAAGUGAAAGACGGUCUUGCUGUCACUUAUAGAUGGAUCCGCGCUGCAUUAGCUAGUUGGUAAGGUAACGGCUUACCAAGGCAACGAUGCAUAGCCGACCUGAGAGGGUGAUCGGCCACACGGGAACUGAGACACGGUCCAGACUCCUAAGGGAGGCAGCAGUAGGGAAUCGUCCGCAAUGGGCGAAAGCCUGACGGAGCAACGGCGCGUGAGUGAUGAAGGUCUUCGGAUCGUAAAACUCUGUUAUUAGGGAAGAACAUAUGUGUAAGUAACUGUGCACAUCGUGACGGUACCUAAUCAGAAAGCCACGGCUAACUACGUG